rnacentral:lncRNA from 1 species
AGAUCACAAAACUACAUUCACAUGAUUGUGAUAUAUAAACAUUGACUCUAUAUGAACUUUUACAUUAUGUUUAUCAUACUUUUAUUCUUUUUACAUGUAUAUAUAUAUAAUUAUUAUUUUUAUUUUAUCAGUUCAGAUGAUGUUUCAAAUUCAAGCUUUGGGACAAAGCUUAGUGAGGUUGAGGAAGAGUUGUUAUAGAAAAAUUAUGAAUUGCCAAAGACAAAAUUUUAAUAUAACAGAC